GCGGCGGUGGCGGAAUUGGCAGACGCGCUAGAUUCAGGAUCUAGUGGGUGUACGCUCGUGGGGGUUCAAGUCCCUUCCGCCGCACCA
rnacentral:tRNA from 1 species